UGAGGAAUCUUGCGCAAUGGGGGAAACCCUGACGCAGCAACGCCGCGUGAGUGAUGAAGGCCUUCGGGUCGUAAAGCUCUGUCAGAUGGGAAGAAAGUUUCGGCGGUGAACAAUCGCCGGGAUUGACGGUACCGUCAGAGGAAGCACCGGCUAACUCCGUGCCAGCAGCCGCGGUAAUACGGAGGGUGCAAGCGUUGUUCGGAAUCAUUGGGCGUAAAGAGCGUGUAGGCGGUCGGGUAAGUCAGAUGUGAAAUCCCUUGGCUUAACCAAGGAAGGGCAUUUGAAACUGCCCGGCUUGAGUACGGGAGGGGGAAGUGGAAUUCCCGGUGUAGAGGUGAAAUUCGUAGAUAUCGGGAGGAACACCGGUGGCGAAGGCGGCUUCCUGGACCGAUACUGACGCUGAGACGCGAAAGCGUGGGGAGCAAACAGG
rnacentral:rRNA from 1 species